UGGGGAAUAUUGGACAAUGGGGGCAACCCUGAUCCAGCAAUGCCGCGUGUGUGAAGAAGGUCUUCGGAUUGUAAAGCACUUUCGACGGGGACGAUGAUGACGGUACCCGUAGAAGAAGCCCCGGCUAACUUCGUGCCAGCAGCCGCGGUAAUACGAAGGGGGCUAGCGUUGCUCGGAAUGACUGGGCGUAAAGGGCGUGUAGGCGGUUUACACAGUCAGAUGUGAAAUCCCCGGGCUUAACCUGGGAGCUGCAUUUGAUACGUGUAGACUAGAGUGUGAGAGAGGGUUGUGGAAUUCCCAGUGUAGAGGUGAAAUUCGUAGAUAUUGGGAAGAACACCGGUGGCGAAGGCGGCAACCUGGCUCAUUACUGACGCUGAGGCGCGAAAGCGUGGGGAGCAAACAGGAUUAGAUACCCUGGUAGUCCACGCUGUAAACGAUGUGUGCUAGAUGUUGGGUAACUUUGUUAUUCAGUGUCGCAGUUAACGCGUUAAGCACACCGCCU
rnacentral:rRNA from 1 species